UCCCUUGUGGCUCAGAUGGUAAAGCGUCUGCCUACAAUGCAGGAGACCCAGAUUCAAUCCCUGGGUUGGGAA
rnacentral:tRNA from 1 species